GGAACGGAUCCCUGCUUUUGGUUAAGUAGCUUUAUGGCGGGAUUCUGACACUCAUACAGCUAGAUAACCAAAGACAGGGGCCGUCCCU
rnacentral:pre_miRNA from 1 species